rnacentral:rRNA from 1 species
GACGAACGCUGGCGGCGUGCUUAACACAUGCAAGUCGAACGGAAAGGCCCUGCUUUUGUGGGGUGCUCGAGUGGCGAACGGGUGAGUAACACGUGAGUAACCUGCCCUUGACUUUGGGAUAACUUCAGGAAACUGGGGCUAAUACCGGAUAGGAGCUCCUGCUGAAUGGUGGGGGUUGGAAAGUUUCGGCGGUUGGGGAUGGACUCGCGGCUUAUCAGCUUGUUGGUGGGGUAGUGGCUUACCAAGGCUUUGACGGGUAGCCGGCCUGAGAGGGUGACCGGCCACAUUGGGACGGAGAUACGGCCCAGACUCCUACGGGACGCAGCAGUGGGGAAUAUUGCACAAUGGGCGGAAGCCUGAUGCAGCAACGCCGCGUGCGGGAUGACGGCCUUCGGGUUGUAAACCGCUUUCGCCUGUGACGAAGCGUGAGUGACGGUAAUGGGUAAAGAAGCACCGGCUAACUACGUG